rnacentral:rRNA from 1 species
AUUGAACGCUGGCGGCAUGCUUUACACAUGCAAGUCGAACGGUAGAGGGGGCAACCCCUUGAGAGUGGCGAACGGGUGAGUAAUGCAUCGGAACGUGCCCAGUCGUGGGGGAUAACGCAGCGAAAGCUGUGCUAAUACCGCAUACGAUCUCUGGAUGAAAGCGGGGGACCUUGUAGCAAUACGGGGCCUCGCGCGAUUGGAGCGGCCGAUGUCAGAUUAGGUAGUUGGUGGGGUAAAGGCUCACCAAGCCAACGAUCUGUAGCUGGUCUGAGAGGACGACAAGCCACACUGGGACUGAGACACGGCCCAGACUCCUACGGGAGGCAGCAGUGGGGAAUUUUGGACAAUGGGCGCAAGCCUGAUCCAGCAAUGCCGCGUGCAGGAAGAAGGCCUUCGGGUUGUAAACUGCUUUUGUACGGAACGAAAAGGUCUGGGUUAAUACCCUGGGCACAUGACGGUACCGUAAGAAUAAGCACCGGCUAACUACGUGCCAGCCGCCGCAGUAAUAC